rnacentral:tRNA from 1 species
GGGCCUCUGGAUAAACGGUUAAAUCGCACGACUCAUAAUCGUUGAGACUCCUAGUUCAAUUCUAGGGAGGCCCAUCA